rnacentral:tRNA from 1 species
GGUCUUAUAUUCAACGAUGAUUUUAGACUGCAAUUCUAAAGGUGUAAUAUUUACUAAGGCCU